rnacentral:rRNA from 1 species
GACGAACGCUGGCGGCGUGCUUAACACAUGCAAGUCGAACGGAAAGGCCCUGCUUUUGUGGGGUGCUCGAGUGGCGAACGGGUGAGUAACACGUGAGUAACCUGCCCUUGACUUUGGGAUAACUUCAGGAAACUGGGGCUAAUACCGGAUAGGAGCUCCUGCUGCAUGGUGUGGGUUGGAAAGUUUCGGCGGUGGGGGAUGGACUCGCGGCUUAUCAGCUUGUUGGUGGGGUAGUGGCUUACCAAGGCUUUGACGGGUAGCCGGCCUGAGAGGGUGACAGGCCACACUGGGACUGAGAUACGGCACAGACUCCUAAGGGAGGCAGCAGUGCGGAAGAUUGCACAAUGGGCGGAAGCCGGAUGAAGCAACGCCGCGUGCGGGAUGACGGCCUUCGGGUUGUAAACCGAUUUUGCAUGUGACGAAGCGUGAGUGAAGGUAAUGGGUACAGAAGCACCGGCUAACUACGUG